GAUGAACGCUGGCGGCGUGCCUAAUACAUGCAAGUCGAGCGAACAGAUAAGGAGCUUGCUCCUUUGACGUUAGCGGCGGACGGGUGAGUAACACGUGGGUAACCUACCUAUAAGACUGGAAUAACUCCGGGAAACCGGGGCUAAUGCCGGAUAACAUUUAGAACCGCAUGGUUCUAAAGUGAAAGAUGGUUUUACUAUCACUUAUAGAUGGACCCGCGCCGUAUUAGCUAGUUGGUAAGGUAACGGCUUACCAAGGCAACGAUACGUAGCCGACCUGAGAGGGUGAUCGGCCACACUGGAACUGAGACACGGUCCAGACUCCUACGGGAGGCAGCAGUAGGGAAUCUUCCGCAAUGGGCGAAAGCCUGACGGAGCAACGCCGCAUGAGUGAUGAAGGUCUUCGGAUCGUAAAACUCUGUUAUUAGGGAAGAACAAAUGUGUAAGUAACUGUGCACGUCUUGACGGUACCUAAUCAGAAAGCCACGGCUAACUACGUG
rnacentral:rRNA from 1 species